GGAUGAACGCUAGCGGCAGGCCUAACACAUGCAAGUCGAGGGGUAACAGGUCUUCGGAUGCUGACGACCGGCGCACGGGUGCGUAACGCGUAUGCAACCUACCUCUUACAGUGGGAUAGCCCAGAGAAAUUUGGAUUAAUACCGCAUAGUAUGCAGACUCAGCAUUGAGAUUGCAUUAAACAUUUAUGGGUAAGAGAUGGGCAUGCGUUCUAUUAGCUAGAUGGAGUGGUAACGGCACCCCAUGGCUACGAUAGAUAGGGGCCCUGAGAGGGGGAUCCCCCACACUGGUACUGAGACACGGACCAGACUCCUACGGGAGGCAGCAGUGAGGAAUAUUGGACAAUGGGCGAGAGCCUGAUCCAGCCAUGCCGCGUGCAGGAAGACUGCCCUAUGGGUUGUAAACUGCUUUUAUACGGGAAGAAACACCCCCUCGUGAGGGGGCUUGACGGUACCGUAAGAAUAAGGAUCGGCUAACUCCGUGCCAGCAGCCGCGGUAAUACGGAGGAUCCAAGCGUUAUCCGGAAUCAUUGGGUUUAAAGGGUCCGUAGGUGGAUGAUUAAGUCAGAGGUGAAAUCCUGCAGCUCAACUGUAGAAUUGCCUUUGAUACUGGUUAUCUUGAAUUAUUGUGAAGUAGUUAGAAUAUGUAGUGUAGCGGUGAAAUGCAUAGAUAUUACAUAGAAUACCAAUUGCGAAGGCAGAUUACUAACAAUAUAUUGACACUGAUGGACGAAAGCGUGGGGAGCGAACAGGAUUAGAUACCCUGGUAGUCCACGCCGUAAACGAUGGAUACUAGCUGUUCGGAGCAAUCUGAGUGGCUAAGCGAAAGUGAUA
rnacentral:rRNA from 1 species